rnacentral:rRNA from 1 species
GAUGAACGCUGGCGGCGUGCCUAAUACAUGCAAGUCGAACGCGAGCACUUGUGCUCGAGUGGCGAACGGGUGAGUAAUACAUAAGUAACCUGCCCUAGACAGGGGGAUAACUAUUGGAAACGAUAGCUAAGACCGCAUAGGUACGGACACUGCAUGGUGACCGUAUUAAAAGUGCCUCAAAGCACUGGUAGAGGAUGGACUUAUGGCGCAUUAGCUGGUUGGCGGGGUAACGGCCCACCAAGGCGACGAUGCGUAGCCGACCUGAGAGGGUGACCGGCCACACUGGGACUGAGACACGGCCCAGACUCCUACGGGAGGCAGCAGUAGGGAAUAUUGGCACAAUGGGGGAAACCCUGAUGCAGCGACGCCGCGUGAAGGGAUGAAGUAUUUCGGUAUGUAAACUUCUAUCAGCAGGGAAG